CGGUCAAAUCAAGUUGAAUCACCGGUUCCCGUACGAUCACCGAAUUUAAGCUACGUCGAGUUUGGUCAGUACCUAGAUAGGUGAGCCCUUGCGAAUACAAAGUGCUGUAAG